AUUGAACGCUGGCGGCAUGCCUUACACAUGCAAGUCGAACGGUAACAGGUCUUCGGAUGCUGACGAGUGGCGAACGGGUGAGUAAUACAUCGGAACGUGCCCGAUCGUGGGGGAUAACGAAGCGAAAGCUUUGCUAAUACCGCAUAAGAUCUACGGAUGAAAGCAGGGGACCGCAAGGCCUUGCGCGAACGGAGCGGCCGAUGGCAGAUUAGGUAGGUGGUGGGAUAAAAGCUUACCAAGCCGACGAUCUGUAGCUGGUCUGAGAGGACGACCAGCCACACUGGGACUGAGACACGGCCCAGACUCCUACGGGAGGCAGCAGUGGGGAAUUUUGGACAAUGGGCGAAAGCCUGAUCCAGCCAUGCCGCGUGCAGGAUGAAGGCCUUCGGGUUGUAAACUGCUUUUGUACGGAACGAAAAGACUCUUUCUAAUAAAGAGGGUCCAUGACGGUACCGUAAGAAUAAGCACCGGCUAACUACGUGCCAGCCCCCGCGGUAAUAC
rnacentral:rRNA from 1 species